UCGACAAUAACGUUGUACCGAUGGCCCGGGGCAAGUUAAAACAAAAUUCGGGCAAGUAAAUCCAAUCAUUAAUAUUCCCGUCGGGCAAGUGCACUUUAGCAUGCCGUACUGCCAAGAGUUUUUUUUAAAGCGGUUCUUGUUGGGUGUUGGUAAAACUCGGACUGCGUAAUUCCGGUGGUAAUUUGCAAACCAAUCCUUGCAAAUCUUGAAAUGGACCAAUCAGAAUCGUUUAUUUAGACCGCGGUCCGUAAUCCACAAUCCGCGUUUUACCCACACCCGUUCUUGUUCGCGAUCAACCAAUCAGCGAUCGUUUUACUAGGAAAACAUCUAUCAUGGCGUCCCUGCCAACAUCGUCUAAUUCUUCAACAACUUCUGAAGGAAAACACCAAAAAGUGAUGAAACAGUGCCUCCUAAACAAGUAUUUUAUUAGCGGCAGCAAAUCAAAUGAUGGCAAAGGCUGGAUGACAAGAGAGUUCACUCUGUCUCAACUACUGGGUGCGUUGGUUCUAUCGCAGAAUGAACCAAGGACUGUGCUGCUGAGCUGAGCUGCUCUUGCUGAAACUCACACUGCAACUACAGGAAUCAGAAAGAACACUUGUUUAUAAAUAGAAUUUAGAAAAAAACGUUUUAAAAAUCCUUAAUAGAAUUAAAUAGAAAUAUUACAUGAAAAAGCAUAAAAAUUAGGCAAACUUUCAUCAGGUUCUGCUGGUGUGUCUGCUUUGUUUUGGUCACUUAGUCUACUGUUGGAGUCCUAUUGUUUGUUAAACAGUAGGUACCAGUACCACCACACCCCCACACAGGCGUAGAGAAGCAUCAGUAGUUUAAGAUAAUCCAAGGUCCCUUACCAUCUCCAUCCUUUCUUCCAUUUCUGCUCGAAGCUGGCUCUUCUCCUGUCUCAGUCCCUCAACAGUCUCAUGCAGCUGAUCCCUCUCUUCGCUGAGCAAAUUUACUUUGCACAACAGCUUCUGGAUCUCAUUUGUGGAGGUCUCAUGUUCAGCUUCCUUGUUGAGGAACAGGCUAUCCCUCUCAGCUUUCACAUGGUCAACCUCUUGGCUCAAAUUGUUGAUCUGGUUUAAAGAGAGAGAUACAUUGUAAGUGCUGCUGCCAUGAAUCCAGCAGAUGGUGCUGUCUCACAGGUCAUUGGACAAACUCUUUCCAGUGGGAAGAUGCUUUGACAAGACGUGUUGUAUAACUGCACAUAUGUACACUAUAUAUGGUGGUGACCAGUCAAGGGUGUACCCCGUCUCUCGCCUGAAGUCAGCUGGGAUAGGCUCCAGCAUACCCCUGUAACCUCAAUGAGGAUAAGCUACAUAGAAACUGGAUGGAUGGAGGCUAAAAUACAUGAUGUAGGGUAGCUUUAAGCCAUAAAAACAGCCACUAGAUGGCAGUAGUGCAUUUAAUAAGGGCACAGCAGCUACAGUAUCAUGUAAACAUAAAAACCACUCAUGAGAAGGAGGAAGUGGAAAAGCAAGUAGGAGUGUAGCGUGCAGAAAGUUACGCAUUUUAAUGUGUCGGUUCCAUGUUAGAAUAGCCAUAGAACACAGUUCAUUAUUGGUUAACUGUAAUGUGAUGACUCCUAAUGAUAAAAAGCUUUCCAGUGGGAAGAUGCUUUGACAAGACAUAUGUAGCACAUAGUAUGGUAUGUACAGGUAAGUAUAAUACCGUAUAUUGUAUGUGUGUACAGUCAUCCCUUGUUUCAACAUCCCACCCUCACUUGAUGGAGUGUUUUGGGGGAUGAUUCCUAAUGAUUAAAAGCAUGUUUACUCACCUUAUCAAUACUUUGCUGCAGCUCUGCCUCUAGCUGGUUCGUCUUCUCACUCAGUUGCUCUUUCUGAAGUGAAAAAAAAAAAUAAUACACCACUGUAUAUUACUUAAGUAUAUCUCUGUAUUCCAAUACUCAGGAGACUUUUGUGCCAUUGGACUAAUAAUGAGGUAUAGGCCUGUCACAAUGAUCAAUAAAUCUAUUUACUGCAUUGUUAAUAGAAACAAAAGGACUCAAAGAAAAACUCACCAGCUGUACAUUUUCUUGAAGGUCAGCUUUCAAGAGAGUCACCUCCUCCUUAGCUUUCUCCAGCUGCUCCUUUAGCUGUUGGAUCUGGAGCACCAUUGAGGAUUAUACAUUUAAAUGUGUUUUGAAGUGUUAUCAAACGAGAGUACAUGAAAUAUGACUAUACUGUAUGGCUUAGUAUACCAAAGAUACUACUUUUUUCUUUUUUUUUUAAAGAGAAUCUAACCUGCACAUUUUGUUGAUCUUGUUCUACCUUCAGGGACUGUGCUGCUGAGCUGAGCUGCUCUUGCUGCAACUCACACUGCAACUACAGGAAUCAGAGAUAAUACUUGUUUAUAAAUUUAGAAAAAAAAGUAUAAGAAAAUUUAAAUACAUAAACCCUUUAAAAAUGAUAUUUAACUGACAUUUAACUUCAUUGUUGUCCAUUCUUGCUGUGAGUCCAGAAGGAACAGUAGUUUAAGAUAAUCCAAUGUCCCUUACCAUCUCCAUCCUUUCUUCCAUUUCUGCUCGAAGCUGGCUCUUCUGCUGUCUCAGUCCCUCAACAGUCUCAUGCAGCUGAUCCCUCUCUUCGCUGAGCGAAUUUACUUUGCACAACAGCUUCUGGAUCUCAUUUGUGGAGGUCUCAUGUUCAGCUUCCUUGUUGAGGAACAGGCUAUCCCUCUCAGCUUUCACAUGGUCAAGCUCUUGGCUCAAACUGAUGAUCUGGUUAAAAGACAGAUAUACAUUAUAAGUGCUGCAGCCAUGAAUCCAGCAGAUGAUGCUGUCUGACAGGUCAUUGGACUAACUCUUUCCAGUGGGAAGAUGCUUUGACAAGACGUGUACAGGUAAGUAUACAUCACAGUUUGAACAUCCCACCCUCACCUGAUGACGUUUUUUCACAAAGUAAUUAAUAAAUCAGCGCUAU